GUAGACGCUGGUAGGAGGCUAGGGGGGACAAAAAGGAAAAGAAAAAAAAAAGAAAAAAAAAAAGAAAAAGAGGCGUAGGCAAAGUAAGCUAGGGUUUUCUGGGGGUUAGAGUGUGGUGUGUGGAGUUUGUUUUUUUGAAGACCUUGGGAGCUGUGCCGCAGCUGGGAAAUUGGAGACCUGAGCCUCCCUUCACGGGGUGUAAUUGGUGUCAUUGCCGGUAUUAAAGUAAAGAGAAUUAGUGAAACCUCAAGAUGGUUGAUCAUGAGAGCGUGGAUAUAGGCAGGGAUAGCCAAACCACUCUAAAAGAGUUUACGCAUCUCUCAUCCCUUCUCUCUUGAUUUAUUUGCAUUUAUAUUAUAUACUGUACUUGAUUCUUUAAAUUGCUUUAAAAUUUGUAUCAAGCUCAUUUAAUUUCAUUAAAACCAGUUCACCCCUUUUUUGGGUUGUCACUUGGGUCAUUAAUUAGUAUCAGAGCUAGAGCUCUUCUUCUAAAAUUUUUGGGACUUAAUUGUCUUAGAAUAGAUCCAUGGCAACUCAGGCUUUUUCAUUUGGAUUUGAAGGGUAUUCUACCACUAGACCACCACUUUAUUUAUUUAUUUAUAUGGAACUGAUAAUAUUUUUUGAAAAAUUACGAUGAGUAUAUUCGUUUAAACUUUUGAUUGCAAAAUAUGACAUACUAUCCAAAAUAGAUAUACUCUUCCAAUAAUGGUGGGAAAAUAAUGUUAUAUAUUAUUCUUAUUAUCAUUGUGAUUAAUAUGGUUGAUGCAUAUGAUUAAUAUUUAUUUUAUUUAUUAAGUUUGCCUUUUCUCCUUCAAGCCUCUAUAAUAUUACUCUUAAUGUAACAUUAAGUAGCCCUAUCUUCGAUUUUUUUUAAAAAAAAUUUUUUUUCAAAAAAAAAAAAAAAAAAUCUAUCACUAUUGAAGCAUGGCAAUGUAUUAUCUUUACAAACAAUUAUUUAAAACAUCACACAACUAUCACAAACCAUUCUUCAAACAUUCCUAAGCUAAAACUCAUUCCUAAAAUAGGAAUACUUGAAUCAUCUUUGAUCAUUGAAAAAAAAAAAAAACCAAAAAAAUCUAGAAAUAUAAUAUAAAUUUAAAUACAAUAAAAAUAUGUUCCCAACUUUCUUUAUAAUUGAUUUAGAAAACUAUAAAAUAAGGUGAUAUUUUAUAAUUAUUUGAAAAAUAAAAAAUAAAAAAUAAAAUUACUCUCACAAAUAAAUAGUGCCAAAAUGAAGACAUUCUCUACUAUGGUCUAUAUUCACUUACUCAUAAUUAGUUGCAUGAGAAUAUUAGAGGCAUAAAAUAUUUUUUUUUAAAUGAUCGACAAAAAUUUAUAAACUAUAAGUAAGUGUUCGCGCAUUUACUGAUUAUUAAUUUAUGGCAAACGAAAGACAAUAUAAACUACAUAAUAAAAGAAAAACAAAAACAAAAUGCAUCAUGACAUGCAUCACUUCAAAAUUUUCUUUCUUAUAAUUUUAAAUUUUGAAUUGUGAUAUUUAUUGAUUUAUUUUGUUAUGUUUUGAAUUUUGAAUUUUUUUUUUCACGUCCUGUGCACUAAGUUUAGAAGAGGAUUUUUAGUCCAGUUGUUUAAAAGUGUAAAAAAAUUGCAGUUCACUGCACAAAACUCCUGCGUAUGUGAGGUCUAGAGAAGGGACAAACCACAAUAGGUUUAUAGUAUGUAGUUUUAUCUUAUAUUUUUGUAAGAGACUCUUUCUACGCUUUAAACCAGUGACCUCCCGUUAGGUCAUACGGCGACAAUCUUACCCUUGUGCCUAAGCUCUCAUUCAAUUGUUUAAAAGUAUCCCAUCCCAAAAUUAUAUAAACACAACUAUUGCAUAGCUUUCCACACCCCCAAAUAAUUUUCUUUGAUAGUUUAUUAAAUCAACUUCUACAUAAAUAUGAAGAAAAAGAGAAUUUAGUUGAAAAAUAUAAAAAGAUAAAAAAAUAUGUAAGAAGAGAAGAUUUAAAAAUAUAUAUUUAAUUUCCCCUUACAUUGAUCUAAUUGAAGGGACACCAAAAUGCCAAAAAAAAAAAAAAAAAAAAUUAUUAGUCAUGCACACACACUUAUCGACAUGCUAUUGCAAUGUAAUUAAAUGGUAAGAAAAAAAAUAACUUUAUUGGCAGAAAGAUGUGAACUUUGCAAGAAGAUUCAAAAUUUCCCAAUGUAAUGUUUUAAAAAUCUAAACAUCCUCCUUUGAUAUUUAGGAUAUUUCUAGCACCUGUGUUAGUUUAUGGGGUCAAACAUAAAGAGGUGAUGCAUUAGUAAUGUGGAAGGAGAUCCACAAAUUUUUAGUAUUUUAAGAGAAUUCUGAUGUUGUGUAUGUGUGUGUGUGUGUGUUUGUUUUUUUUUUUUGGCGUAACCUCUGAAAAAGUAUUUGAGUUUUUGAAAUUUUAAGGGUGUUUUUCUUUUCUUUUUCAUGACAGUUUUUUAGAGGUAUAUUGUAACGCCCCAACCUGAGUCUGUCAGGGAGCACUGCGUUUAUCCUCCUCCACCUGGAUCAGACAACAAGGAGGCGGAUCUUAUUGGACUAAUGACUGACUCCACAGACCAACACAUGAUAUUUUAAUGUGUUUUGUCCCCACUCACAUACUUUCUGAAAAACUUCUCAGAAGGUCACUCAUCUCAAUAUUAUUCCAGUACGCUUAACCGUGGAGUUCUUUUUGGAAGACUUUUGAAAAGAAAGGUGCACCUUAUUGAUAUGGGUAGUAAUAUUUAAUCUUUUUUAAGUCUUUAUUUCACGGGAUAUCACAUUCUCCCCCACUUACAGAACGCAACGUUCUCAUUGUGAACCCACAUUUCCAAACCCAAGCAAUGUGAAUCUCCUCACACUUCCAGCUGAGUAAUUAUUCUGAUACUUUUUUGUGACGCCUCAACUUAGGUCUAGUAGGAAAAAUUGCGUGUCUCCUCCUCCACUUGGACCAGACAACAGGGGGCGGAUCUUAUCGGACUAAUGACUAACAUCACAAACCAACACGUGUCAUUUUCAAUGUAUUUUGUUUUCACUCACACACUUCUUAAGAAAACUUUCCAAAAUAUCACCUAUCCCAAUAUUACUCCAAACCAAGCAUGUUUUUCGAAAAGAAAGAUGUACCUUAUUGAUAUAAGUAUCUAAUUAUUUUUAAGUCUUUCUAUCACGGGAUAUCAUAUAUGUUUCAAUCAAAUAUUUUCUUUGAAGAAUUAAAAAAGGAAAACACCGUAAAAAGUAAUUAAUUUCAUUUUUCAUUAUACUCUCCCGACAUAUUGAUAAAAAAAAUUUAAAAUAAAAAAAUAAAAAAAAUUCAAAUGUUAAUAACAUCUACAAUUAAAAUUAUGCUCAUUAAUUUAUUUAAUUUUAAUUUUUUUCACUUUUUUAAUAACUAAAUAUGGAAAAAUAAUUAUUAUUUUUCUAAUAUUUUAAAUUCUAAACGCACCCUAGCGAAGGAAGUCUAUAUUUUUCACUAAAUUUUAAAAAUAUAAAUAUUUAUUUUGGUGUUCACCUACUCUAUGGGUGGAGUUUAGAGAUAAUUAGUAUAGUAUGAGAAAUAGUUUUAUCACUUUAAAUUUGAAAAUUUAUCAAAAUCUAUCAAACUGACUGAAAAUUUAUGCUGCUAAAUUCAUAAAGUUAAAAAAAAAAAAAAGAAUUAUUUUUUUUAGAAAAAUAAUUUCUCUCGUGUCUGCGGAGGAGGAAGAACCGGAGCGAGACAACAGGCAAGCUUCAGGUUACCCAUCUUCUUCUCAACCCUAAUUUCUUGGUAUCUCAAAAUUCUUUUGAUUUCUCUGAUUCGGAUGGAAUCAAGAGAAGUAAGAAAAUCGUUAGGUAUUUCAGUUCAUCUGAGAAGCGCAAGAAAUUACGUUCUCAUCUCAUCCCAUAUCAAUGACAAAUGCAAAGGCUUGAGGAUUGUAGCUUAUGGGCGAGGAAUUUUAUGCAGCAAUUGGUGUCCCAGAGUGGCUGAGCUUUGAUAAACAUAUUCUGCAGAUUGAAUCCGUAAAGCAGAAAGUGAGCGGAUUUGAAGUCGUAAUUUCGAUGCUCGUUAGGAAUCAAUUUUUAGAGGCACAACCAGAUAACUUACACUGGGAAUGCAAAAGAAUAGGCGCUGGUACCGCUUCCAUCGGAAUUGUAGGAGGCACUUGUAGAAUUACGGAUUGGUUCAGAAGAAGGCAAUUUAUCCUUAACAUGAUCCUCUACAGCCAAAACCUCCUUUGUGACUUCCUUUGGCAAUGCUUCUAUUGCGCCAAUGUCUUCCCCAACACUUACAGUGCUCUUUCUGUCAUCAGAAUUCAGUGGUGAAGGAACAGGAGGAAGCUUAAAUGGUGAAUUGCUAAAUUCUCCAGACUUGGACAAUAGAGCAGCGUAAUCUGAGAAACUGUUAUUCCCCAUUUGAAUGCUAAACAACGAUUCAGUUGAAGCAACACUCCAGUCCAUGGGUGAGACAGGUUUGCUGCAGAAAAUGGAUGCUGGGAUCCGAUUUGGGUCAUAGGCCAUAGGUCGCCCCAUGAAGUGGACUUGGGGGGAUUGCGCAACUGAUCCACUUUGCAUGCUCCAUUGAGGAGUUUGUGGUGAAACUUCUGGCAACAAGGCACCUCCCAGAGACCCAUGACCCGCUUGUUCAGACAUUGGGGAAUUGUUAAGAACAUCCUUGCUGAAAAUCAUGUCUAUUGAAGAACCUGAUGAAGAAGUAGAAGAGCUGGACAUUUUGCGAGGAGAAGAAUCAACUUCCUUACUGUCAUCCUUGCUGAAAAUCAUGUCUAUUGAAGAACCUGAUGAAGAAGUUGAAGAGCCAGACAUUUUGCGAGGAGAAGAAUCAACUUCCUUACUGUCAGAUUCCUUCCUUGAAUGCAGACUACUUCCAUUCAUAUGUUCAUGAUCCAUGAUAGAACAGUUUACCAGCCCAGGUCUUCAAAUGCUCUCGAUAUCUAUUUGUACUGCAUAGGGUGAAGAGACUUUUAAUUCUACUAUUGGCUUGUAAUAACUGACAUGCCAUUUGGCAUUAAUAUACAUGGAAAAUGCUUUACCACCA